AUUGAACGCUGGCGGCAGGCCUAACACAUGCAAGUCGAACGAGUGGCGGACGGGUGAGUAAUGUCUGGGAAACUGCCCGAUGGAGGGGGAUAACUACUGGAAACGGUAGCUAAUACCGCAUACCAUCGAAUGUGCCCAGAUGGGAUUGGCUAGUAGGUGGGGUAACGGCUCACCUGGGCGACGAUCCCUAGCUGGUCUGAGAGGAUGACCGGCCAAACUGGAACUGAGACACGGCCAAGACCCCUACGGGAGGAAGCAGUGGGGAACAUUGGAAAAUGGGCGCAAGCCGGAUGCAGCAAGGCCGCGUGUAGGAAGAAGGCUUUCGGGUUGUAAAGUACUUUCAGCGAGGAGGCGUUACUCGCAUAAGAAGCAACGGCUAACUCCGUGCCAGCAGCCGCGGUAAUUC
rnacentral:rRNA from 1 species